UGGAAAUUGGAACAGGAUCAGGAACAGGAAUGGGAAUGGGAUUGGGGAUGGGAACAGGACUGAGAUGGGAACAGGACCAGGAUGGGAACAGGACCAAGAUGGGAAAAGGAUCAGGAUGGGAACAGGAACAGGACUGGGAUGGGAUUGGGAUUGGUGUGGGGAACAGUUUUCCCAGAGCAGCUGUGGCUGCCCCUGGAUCCCUGGCAGUGCCCAAGGCCAGGUUGGACACUGGGGCUUGGAGCAGCCUGGCACAGUGGAAGGGCUGGGAACUGGGGCAUGUCACCAAAACCCCACCAAGGGACACCGCGGCCACCCCAGAGCACCGGAACCCUCGGAGGUGCCCGCUGGAACUCUGUGGUUCCCAAGACUCCUUGCAGAGAUUCCUGCACGUGGUGGAACCAGCCUUGGGAGAAGCACAAGAAGCCAGGCUGGUGCACAAGAAACUCAAACUGAACCAUAUCAGCAAAGGAACUCGAACUCCACUGCUCUGCUUCCAACAUGCAGCCUGAAACUGCUUUCACAUUUGUUUUAAGCAACCAGAAGCCCUCGGAGCUGCCAAAAGCAGCAGUUUGACAUUUCCUGCAGCAUUGCUGUCUCAUUCCUGCCCCCACACAUCCCCUCUCCUGUGUCAGCAGCAGAUCCAGCCCUGCAAGCACAUGGAGCAGCUUCCCUGCCCCUCCUCACGCAGCAGCUGCUCCAUGCCUGUGCUUGGCACUCCUGAUUUUCAAGUGCCACAUCCUAGCUCAGCAUCCUUUGAGCACAGUUUGCAUUCUUUGUGGCAUUCAUCCAGGCCAAAGCUCACCCUCCAUGUGCUUCUGACUCCCUUUUGUGUUCCUCAGCACCACAUUUGGUUACCCAAAACGAUUUUGACUUUUUUCUUUUUUUCAGUUGAAUGUGCCUCCCUCUUGGAGCAAGCCAGCAGAGCUGUUUUCUUCUAGGAAUGUCUUUGCUUGUAUAGAAUAUUCUCCAUGGUCUUUCUGAACUUAUCUGGCUUUUUUUUCCUGGGCUGGAGCUCUUCUGGCCACCUAGAAGCUGACAGAUCUAUGACUGUUUGGUUUUGGAGGAGGACUAUUGUGAUGAAUGGUUUUAUAUUACUCACUAACAUAUGCUUUUAAUAGCAAAUGGGAACAAAGGUUCCAGCACUCAGAGAGGCAGACAGUGACUUACUGCAGCUAACUAAUCCCAAAUUUAUCACUGUCCUGCUCAAUAACACAUUUCAAAGUACUGCCCUAUUAAUUGACCACAAGAUUUUGAGCUUUUUUCCUAUUCCUCCUCUCCUUUUGCCUCUUAUAAAACUUGUGUGAAAUGAAAGCACCCCGGUAAAGAAAUUUACUGGAAAAGAUUUUUUUUUCCCCAGUGUUUGGGGUUUUGCAAAAAUCUGGAAGCAAAUUGAUACUGGAAGAUUUGCAAACCAUUCCCACAGGAGCCAUGUCCCAAAAGACACAGGAUCCAGCAGCUCCCUCCCAGUUCCAUGAGCUGCAUCAGCCUCCAGACCUUUCUUCCUCCUCUUCAUCAGCUGCCAGGAUGGUCAAAGGAACAACGCUGGGAGCUUGCAGAGCAUCACUGCACAAAGACUGCUGCACAAUGAGGUUUUAGAGGGGAAACAGAACCUUGGAAAAGGGGCUUAUCCAUAAAUCUUGGUAUUCUUGUGCUGAUUUCACUGCUCUGCUGAGCCCCAGAGCUGGGUUUUCCUCAGGGCAGCUUGCAGUUCACACUCAGCACAUGCUGUGAAGUGUUGGGUGUGGAAGCUGGGAUGGGUGUUUUGGGAAGGGGCAGUGAUCCAGAGCCCUGCCCUGAUUCCCCAUCCCCUGGGAGCCCAGCCUGGCUCUGGACCCUGCUGGGGAAAGCUCAGGUGUGUGCUGUGGGUCAGAGCUGAGCUGUGAGAGCUGCUGGGCACAGAGAGCCUUUUUGGUGGCUGCAGCCUCUGCAGAGUGAGCCAAGCCCAUCUCCUGCCUGCAGAAAAUCUGCAUGCCCAGGUCCCCAUGAGCUGUGGGAGGAUUACCUUGCUCUCCAUUCCCAUUCACAUCUCUCACACAGCCUGACAGAGUCCACGUCCCAGUCUUGCCUCUGCUCCCUUCCGAGGAGUUUUCCAAAGAUGAAUGCUCCAACUACAUUAUUUUUUAAAGUUUAA